rnacentral:rRNA from 1 species
GAUGAACGCUGGCGCCGUGCCUAAUACAUGCAAGUCGAGCGAACAGACGAGGAGCUUGCUCCUCUGACGUUAGCGGCGGACGGGUGAGUAACACGUGGAUAACCUACCUAUAAGACUGGGAUAACUUCGGGAAACCGGAGCUAAUACCGGAUAACAUGUUGAACCGCAUGGUUCAACAGUGAAAGACGGUCUUGCUGUCACUUAUAGAUGGAUCCGCGCCGCAUUAGCUAGUUGGUAAGGUAACGGCUUACCAAGGCAACGAUGCGUAGCCGACCUGAGAGGGUGAUCGGCCACACUGGAACUGAGACACGGUCCAGACUCCUACGGGAGGCAGCAGUAGGGAAUCUUCCGCAAUGGGCGAAAGCCUGACGGAGCAACGCCGCGUGAGUGAAGAAGGUCUUCGGAUCGUAAAACUCUGUUAUUAGGGAAGAACAAAUGUGUAAGUAACUAUGCACGUCUUGACGGUACCUAAUCAGAAAGCCACGGCUAACUACGUG